ACAAAUCCAAUAUGGGGAGGGGAUGUGUCCCUGACCUAAUAUUAAACCGCUAGUCCCGUCAUUGGGACUAGUUGGAUAUAUAUGCGUGAAUGUUGACAGUGUGUGUAACUAAAAUUUAUUGA
rnacentral:misc_RNA from 1 species